ensembl:ncRNA lncRNA:CR46064 long non-coding RNA:CR46064
UAGGAUUACCCAACACUAGUGUGCAUACUCCGUCAUCGCCUUGCGCUCUACAAAUGUUUACCAACAUAUUCGUUUCAUUGUAGUCAAUCUUAAUCUUGCCAUCACUUUGACCAUGCAGGCAGCAGAUCCGCCGGCACAACAUAAUUGGUAUUUGGGCACUAUUGGACGGCACACAUUAAAAAAUAACUAGUUUACUAGGUGCUCCAUUCUAGACACCCCGUAGUUGUCGCUAAUAAAUGGCGUUAGGUCGAUCAGCCGUCGCCGUGCCUCCCAGUUCAUCGAUUGUGUGGUCCACAUGGCCUUGCAUCUAAUCCGCUCCUGGCAGGCAAAGAAUCGUUACCGCCAGCAGUGAUGGUUCCAUUGUCCUUAGUUAUUGUUCGAACAGACAAACCCGAUUUUUUUUCGACCUGCGACGCAUGCUCGUUGCUGUGGAACACUUGGCCUCAUCCUCGUGCAUCAAGAACAGCGAACCGGUCUGAUUGAAACGAUGGUAUGAUGCACAGUCUGAUGGUCGUGGAAUUUUGCUUGUAACAAGCGCCGCAAUUUUCCUAGCAAUGCCCCCAGCACGUGCGUACAGUGCAAUUUUAUAGUUCUUACAGUUAAGCAAAGAGCGAGCAGAUCCAACAGCUCACUUGUGAAAAUGAAGACCGUGCACGCUUUAAGAUCAUUAUAGGCCAAAGGCGUUAAAGUCGCAUCCAGACUUGUCGCAUCUGGAAUAGUGACUUUUUUUCAAAUAGACACACGCUGCUGCCUGCCAGCUCCAGGCACAAUUACUGAGAUUUUUUGCAGUGCGGAGUGGUUUUGUUUCAAAGCUUAACUAUCACACGAUCAUAUUCGCGCUCUAAAUGGAAUGUGCUCAACAGCACAAAUCGGUGGAUGCGUCAUCGUCCAAGUACUUCUUCAAAUGCUGGACCCGGUGAGUCAGUCAAUUCCAACGUGGGAACAACUGCUGUACGUGGUCAAGUCAAGCGUGUGCCAGAAAUGCCCACGAAUUGCACCGCAUUAACAGAGAAACGAAUAAUGGAUCUUCGUCUUGCUUGAUAAUUCUGCGAACACUCAAGGAAUAGAACAGCCUUCAUUUAAUUUACUAAGUUGGACUUCUUCGAGUAGAUGGUCGACUGCAGAACUCUUCGUUGGAUUUUAAUGACAGUAACCCAAUCACCGUACCGAAGGGAUCACAUCAUUAUGGCUAUUAUAUGUAACACUCGUAUCCGCAUAAAUGCUUCUUAAAAGAGUUGGAGUCCCCCGAGUUUUCGUACUUAGGAGAGCAGCUGAAUAUAAGCCACUUGAAGUAAUUCAUUUAUGUAGAUAUUUGGUUCUUUAUGCCACCCUUCUUCGUGCACAUUUCUCGCAUGCAUCUUACAUACUUCUUAAUGAAUCUUGUAUUUCCUGCACCCUACUAGUAACGGUUAUAAAAUAAAAGAAUGAUAGAUAACUGAUACUCAUUGGUAAUGGUAUAAAGAAAUCUAAAAAUUUGGUUGAAUAGCAAAGAAAAAACAAACAAAAAUCUGAAAAUUUACGAAAAUGUGGGCGUGACAGGUUUGCUUUUUCAGCUUGCGGGCGCUAAAAUGGGCACAGAUAAAGUGAUUUUGGUAUUUCAGUUAUAUUGUAGACAAGUAGACAGUUUCCAAGUAAUAAAACUGAAAAUUUUUUUUUUCAAAAAUGUGGUCGUGCCCAUCUUAAUCUUGAUAUUACAGCAUUUAUUAGUAUAAGCAGAUGGAUGGACGACGGACAUGGUCAGAUCGACUUGGCUAGUGAGAACAUAACACAGUCGGAAACGCUUUCUUCUAUCUGUUACAUACAUACACUAGCAAACUGCAUAAAUAAAUAUUUUAACGUUUAACGUUGGAAUUAAAGUAAAAAACAAUGCGAAAGGGUUUAAUGUGUAUCGUCAAACUGUGUAUUAACAAAUUAAAACGUUUAAAAAACAUAAUGAUUUAAUGAUUUAAUAAUGAACAAUCGCUGACGACAAAAUCCUUAUACGGGAACUAAAAAAAAAACCCUACCAGCCCAAUCCGUUGUAACUCAGUGGAAUCUGACCGCCAGCCUCACGAAAAGUAAACGUAAGCAAUCAGUGACUGCACAGUCUGGCAAUUUAAAGGAACAUAGAUUGCUAAGGAUGUGCCGUAUAUUUCAAAAAUGUUCAAGUGUAAAAUGUUGAAAUAUGCCAAAGAAACAUAUGGAUGAAAGCUUUUGUGAUAGUAAAUCGUCAAAACAAAAAAUUGUUGGUAAGAUUACCAACUCAGAAAAGGCAAAAAAUAAGGCCUUCGGCCAUGAUGUUGUGGGGAUGUGUUGCCUACAAUGGGUUGGGCGACUUGUUUCAUAAAAUUUAGUUACACAAAACUCGAGAGAAAGAUUUGACACCAGAGAUCGUUCACAAUUUGGUGGAUUCAGUAACGGACUUACUACAAAAAGUUAUUUGUGCCAAAGGAGGGUAUAUAUUUUAUUAAUUGUUUCAAUACUCCUAAUGUACGUUUAACCUUUUUUGGCAUUAAAGGCUUGUCAAAAUACGUAUGCCGAUACAAAAAAUCAUCAUAUCAUAUUAAAUCGGAAUUUUAUAUCUAUAUAUUAUAUCUAUAUCAAAUUGGAAUACAAAAAAAAAAAAAUGAAUAUGAAAAACAACUGAAUCUAAUGUGCAUUUUAAAUAAUAAA